UGCAGUCGAACGAUGAUGCCCAGCUUGCUGGGCGGAUUAGUGGCGAACGGGUGAGUAAUACGUGAGUAACCUGCCCUUGACUCUGGGAUAAGCCUGGGAAACUGGGUCUAAUACUGGAUACUACCUCUUGCCGCAUGGUGGGUGGUGGAAAGGGUUUUACUGGUUUUGGAUGGGCUCACGGCCUAUCAGCUUGUUGGUGGGGUAAUGGCUCACCAAGGCGACGACGGGUAGCCGGCCUGAGAGGGUGACCGGCCACACUGGGACUGAGACACGGCCCAGACUCCUACGGGAGGCAGCAGUGGGGAAUAUUGCACAAUGGGCGGAAGCCUGAUGCAGCGACGCCGCGUGAGGGAUGACGGCCUUCGGGUUGUAAACCUCUUUCAGUAGGGAAGAAGCGAGAGUGACGGUACCUGCAGAAGAAGCGCCGGCUAACUACGUGCCAGCAGCCGCGGUAAUACGUAGGGCGCAAGCGUUGUCCGGAAUUAUUGGGCGUAAAGAGCUCGUAGGCGGUUUGUCGCGUCUGCUGUGAAAGCCCGGGGCUCAACCCCGGGUCUGCAGUGGGUACGGGCAGACUAGAGUGCAGUAGGGGAGACUGGAAUUCCUGGUGUAGCGGUGAAAUGCGCAGAUAUCAGGAGGAACACCGAUGGCGAAGGCAGGUCUCUGGGCUGUUACUGACGCUGAGGAGCGAAAGCAUGGGGAGCGAACAGGAUUAGAUACCCUGGUAGUCCAUGCCGUAAACGUUGGGCACUAGGUGUGGGGGACAUUCCACGUUUUCCGCGCCGUAGCUAACGCAUUAAGUGCCCCGCCUGGGGAGUACGGCCGCAAGGCUAAAACUCAAAGGAAUUGACGGGGGCCCGCACAAGCGGCGGAGCAUGCGGAUUAAUUCGAUGCAACGCGAAGAACCUUACCAAGGCUUGACAUUCACCGGACCGCCCCAGAGAUGGGGUUUCCCUUCGGGGCUGGUGGACAGGUGGUGCAUGGUUGUCGUCAGCUCGUGUCGUGAGAUGUUGGGUUAAGUCCCGCAACGAGCGCAACCCUCGUUCUAUGUUGCCAGCACGUGAUGGUGGGGACUCAUAGGAGACUGCCGGGGUCAACUCGGAGGAAGGUGGGGAUGACGUCAAAUCAUCAUGCCCCUUAUGUCUUGGGCUUCACGCAUGCUACAAUGGCCGGUACAAAGGGUUGCGAUACUGUGAGGUGGAGCUAAUCCCAAAAAGCCGGUCUCAGUUCGGAUUGAGGUCUGCAACUCGACCUCAUGAAGUCGGAGUCGCUAGUAAUCGCAGAUC
rnacentral:rRNA from 2 species